GCUUAACACAUGCAAGUCGAGCGAGAAUCGUUUUGCUGAAGGCUUCGGUCUGACGCAGAAUGAGGAAAGCGGCGAACGGGUGAGUAACGCGUGGGCAACCUGGCCUUAAGAAAAGGAUAGCCCCCGGAAACGGGGAGGAAUACGUUAUGAGAAUGAAAGAGGGCAUCCUACUUUCAUUAAAAGCGCAAGCUCUUAAGGAAGGGUCCGCGUAUGAUUAGCUAGUUGGUUGGUUAACAGCCCACCAAGGCAACGACGAUUAGCCGGUCUGAGAGGGCGAACGGCCACAUUGGAACUGCGUGACGGUACAAACUCAUACGGGAGGCAGCAGUGGGGAAUAUUGCGCAAUGGAGAAGAACUCUGACGCAGCAAUACCGCGUGAGCGAAGAAGGUCUUCGGAUCGUAAAGCUCUGUUAUCAGGGAAGAAGAAAAUGACGGUACCUGAUGAGCAAGUCCCGGCUAACUACGUGCCAGCCGCCGCGGUAAUAC
rnacentral:rRNA from 1 species